rnacentral:lncRNA from 1 species
GUACGAACCUGAAUUGUCCGAUUUCAAGGACCAAUCGAUAUCGGAUUGAGUCCAAAACUUGGGGAACAUCAUAAUAUUGUGGGAGGAGUCAUUUGGUGGGUUUUGAGUGAAAUCCAAUCUCUAGAACUAUACAAUACACCAACCACCCCAUUUCAGAACGAACUUCGUACGAACCUGAAUUGUCCGAUUUCAAGGACCAAUCGAUAUGGGAUUGAGUCCAAAACUUAGGGAACAACAUAAUAUUUUGGGAGGAGUCAUUUGGUGGGUUUUGAGUGAAAUCCAAUCUCUAGAACUAUACAAUACACCAACCACCCCAUUUCAGAACGAACUUUCGUAGGAACCUGAAUUGUCCGAUUUCAAGGACCAAUCGAUAUCGGAUUGAGUCCAAAACUUGGGGAACAUCAUAAUAUUGUGGCAG